rnacentral:rRNA from 1 species
UUGUCGGGUAAGUUCCGACCUGCACGAAUGGCGUAAUGAUGGCCAGGCUGUCUCCACCCGAGACUCAGUGAAAUUGAACUCGCUGUGAAGAUGCAGUGUACCCGCGGCAAGACGGAAAGACCCCGUGAACCUUUACUAUAGCUUGACACUGAACAUUGAGCCUUGAUGUGUAGGAUAGGUGGGAGGCUUUGAAGUGUGGACGCCAGUCUGCAUGGAGUCGACCUUGAAAUACCACCCUUUAAUGUUUGAUGUUCUAACGUGGACCCGUGAUCCGGGUUGCGGACAGUGUCUGGUGGGUAGUUUGACUGGGGCGGUCUCCUCCUAAAGAGUAACGGAGGAGCACGAAGGUUGGCUAAUCCUGGUCGGACAUCAGGAGGUUAGUGCAAUGGCAUAAGCCAGCUUGACUGCGAGCGUGACGGCGCGAGCAGGUGCGAAAGCAGGUCAUAGUGAUCCGGUGGUUCUGAAUGGAAGGGCCAUCGCUCAACGGAUAAAAGGUACUCCGGGGAUAACAGGCUGAUACCGCCCAAGAGUUCAUAUCGACGGCGGUGUUUGGCACCUCGAUGUCGGCUCAUCACAUCCUGGGGCUGAAGUAGGUCCCAAGGGUAUGGCUGUUCGCCAUUUAAAGUGGUACGCGAGCUGGGUUUAGAACGUCGUGAGACAGUUCGGUCCCUAUCUGCCGUGGGCGCUGGAGAACUGAGGGGGGCUGCUCCUAGUACGAGAGGACCGGAGUGGACGCAUCACUGGUGUUCGGGUUGUCAUGCCAAUGGCACUGCCCGGUAGCUAAAUGCGGAAGAGAUAAGUGCUGAAAGCAUCUAAGCACGAAACUUGCCCCGAGAUGAGUUCUCCCUGACCCUUUAAGGGUCCUGAAGGAACGUUGAAGACGACGACGUUGAUAGGCCGGGUGUGUAAGCGCAGCGAUGCGUUGAGCUAACCGGUACUAAUGAAC